AUUCAACCAAAUUGAACCUUUAUUGGACUUAGAUAGUCAAAGUCGCUCGAAUAACAAUGGUCGUUAGAUUCAAACAUCUAACCUACUAAGUUGAGUAUGACACAUAAAUCAAUCAAGUAAUGCUAUAUCAUUCUUUACUAUAGUUUUAUUCAAAAAAAUGAGCGGCUAAUAAAAAGGAAAAAAUCGGACCGUACACGUGGCAUGAUAUAAAACGAUAGAUCUGUAAACCCUAAAAAGCAAUUUUAGGGCUUGGAAGCGAACAUUGCAGCCCCUCUGUUUCUAUAUAUAAGCUUCUUAGCGCUUUAUCUAUCACACCAACAAUCGUCUUCUUCAUGCGGCCAAUCUUCACUAUGUAGCGUUAGGGUUUUGAUUCGUAAGAGUAUUUGUUUUAAAUGUUGUUCGAGAUGUAUGACUACCAAUCGUAGAUGGAAGUGAUGACACUUUCCCCAAAUGAUCGACGCUGAUUAUUCUAUGCUGGUGUGUUCAUCACACUUUUGUCUGAUCCAUCUCCUUUGAUCUUAACCAUGAACUGGUUUUAAUCAAAUUACGUUUGUCCUAACUUCUGCAUUUGACCUUUUUUUGGUUACUUUGAAUCAAACUGUGAUUGCUCUUUGGGCCGGUAGCUUCAGCCCAAUCUUUGUGCUAGAACCCAUUAA